rnacentral:rRNA from 1 species
UACGUAGGUGGCGAGCGUUGUCCGGAAUUACUGGGUGUAAAGGGCGUGCAGGCGGGACUGUAAGGCAGAUGUGAAAUUCCCAGGCUUAAACUGGGCGCUGCAUCUGAAACUAUGGUUCUUGAGUGUCGGAGAGGAAAGCGGUAUUCCUAGUGUAGCGGUGAAAUGCGUAGAUAUUAGGAGGAACACCAGUGGCGAAGGCGGCUUUCUGGACGAUAACAGAAGCUGAGGCGCGAAAGCGUGGGGAGCAAACAGG